CAGUAGCCGCGGUAAUACGAAGGGGGCUAGCGUUGUUCGGGAUCACUGGGCGUAAAGCGCACGUAGGCGGACUUUUAAGUCAGGGGUGAAAUCCCAAGGCUCAACCUUGGAACUGCCUUUGAUACUGGAAGUCUUGAGUUCGGGAGAGGUGAGUGGAACUGCGAGUGUAGAGGUGAAAUUCGUAGAUAUUCGCAAGAACACCAGUGGCGAAGGCGGCUCACUGGCCCGAUACUGACGCUGAGGUGCGAAAGCGUGGGGAGCAAACAGGAUUAGAUACCCCCGUAGUCCCUGUCUCUUAUAC
rnacentral:rRNA from 1 species